rnacentral:rRNA from 1 species
GACGAACCGUGCGAACGUUAUUCGGAAUCACUGGGCUUAAAGCGCGUGUAGGCGGGCCGCCACGUCGGCUGCUGAAAUCCCCCGGCUCAACUGGGGAACAGGCCUCGAUACGACCGGCCUCGAGGGGGGUAGGGGGAGCCGGAACUUCCGGUGGAGCGGUGAAAUGCGUUGAGAUCGGAAGGAACGCCCGUGGCGAAAGCGGGCUCCUGGACCCCACCUGACGCUGAGACGCGAAAGCCAGGGGAGCGAACGGG